rnacentral:rRNA from 1 species
CCUACGGGAGGCAGCAGUGAGGAAUAUUCGGCAAUGGAGGCAACUCUGACCCAGCAAUGCCGCGUGAGUGAAGAAGGUUUUCGGAUUGUAAAGCUCUGUCGGAUGUGACGAAGAUGACGGUAGCAUCUAAAGAAGCCCCGGCUAACUCCGUGCCAGCAGCCGCGGUAAUACGAAGUAUGCGCGGUUUAUCCAGAUGUAUUGGGUUUAACGGGUUCCGAGGGGGUCUGUUAAGUAAGCGGUAAACGCCGGGGGCUAAACCCCGGGCCGCCGUUGAAACUGGCAGCCUUGAGUUGGAGAGAAGUAUGCGGAAUGCGCGGUGUAGCGGUGAAAUGCAUAGAUAUCGCGCAGAACUCCGAUUGCGAAGGCAGCAUGCCGGCUCCACACUGACGCUGAGGCACGAAAGCGUGGGUAUCGAACAGGAUUAGAUACCCCUGUAGUC